ACAACGUGGUGGGGGCAUUUACGAAUAAGGUCUCUUAAUCUUUUUCAUGUCUCAUGAAAAAGUUCAUCAUCUAAUUGGAAAAAAUUAGUGAUGGCUUUUCUAAUUUG